rnacentral:rRNA from 1 species
UACGGAGGGGGCUAGCGUUGUUCGGAAUUACUGGGCGUAAAGCGUACGUAGGCGGCUUUGUAAGUUAGAGGUGAAAAGCCCGGGGCUCAACCCCCGGGUCUGCAUUCGAUACGGGCUAGCUAGAGUGUGGUAGGGGGAGAUCGAAUUCCUGGUGUAGCGGUGAAAUGCGCAGAUAUCAAGGAGGAACACCGGUGGCGAAGGCGGAUCUCUGGGCCAUUACUGACGCUGAGGAGCGAAAGCGUGGGGAGCGAACAGG